ensembl:lncRNA
AAGUGUUUUUACUCAUCGUUAUUCCUCUCCUCCUAAUUAGCACCGGUUUGCCAUCAGUUCACGUGACCACGUUUAGAAAAUGCUGCAAAGUCCAACGCAUGUUUGAACAAAUCCCCCAUAAUUCACUGCAUGUCAGAAUUGCGGGACGACUGAGUGGAUGCCGAUUUGGCGUUCCCGCCGGCGGUUAAAGACUCGUUGCGUACACGUGACGCCCCUUCACAUGGAGCAGGUCCUGAAUACUUUGAAUUAAAAAUGCAACAUUGCUGUUGAUCUAGCGAGGCGUCGAUCUGGUAUCUGGGACCCGUCCCCAUAACACCCUUUCAUUCCAGGCCUGUAGUUGGUUUGUGCAGAUUGUGGGCUGGAGGUUUGAUUUUACUUUUAUUCUGUGGAUGUAAAGUUUCUUCUGUCUAGUGUGGCUGGAAAGGGCUUUAAUUUGGUUUGUUUUUAAAUGUGUCUUUUUUUUUAAACGGUCAUAUCAAGGCUCAGCUUGAGAUUUCUCAGAUUCAUGCCUGGCCAAAGUAUGUGAAGCAGGGCAGACUGAAAUGUGAAUAUAAUGAAAUAAUGUUAGAAAAUGUCAAUUUUCUGUUUUACCCCCCCCCCCCCAAAAAAAAACAACCUUUUUGGAUGACAGUCCAGAUGCAGGGGUGACGUUUCGUUUUGCUUCUAGACUGGGUGGAGACUCUAAAAUAUUCAACACCUCAAGAUCGCAUAUUGGUGUCUCAUGCUUGUUUGAUCAGAAACCAUGAAACAACACCGUGCUUGUUUUAGUAGUAGACUACCUUCUGAUAAGUACAGUAAGUCAUUUUUGCACUGCAUAAGCUACAAUAUCAAAGGGGAUGUUGUACAUAGUGGCAUCAGUUUUUUUUUUUAUGUGUCACGCUGUAGUAUUUUGAAGAUAUGUUACAGUGAAAGUAAAAGCUCCUCUAUGCCUUGGAAAUGUGAAGUUGCAUGAACGUGAUGAUUACGGGGUUGGAUGAAGUUGGAACUGCCUCUGGAUCAGUGCUAAAUUGUUUAUAUUCAAUUCUGAUUGGUUGGCGGUCUUUAAAGAAAUAAAUAAAAGGUUCACUAAAAGUAAAGAUCAGUUUGAAAAUAUCCUAUAUUUGAAAAGGAGCCUAAACCUAACUAGUUUAUUUUAAGUCAUUUUUAUUUUGCAAAAUGGUCACAUACAGUCACAAAAUCACCAAACCUCCUCUUGGUCUUUUCUCUGUGUAUGCGUGUAAAUAUAUAUAAGCUGUUGUGGAUCCAUCUUCAUUACUUGGCCUUUUACAGGUAAAACACUUAUUAAACAUGUUGAAAGUAAAACUCCAUGUUUGAGAGUGAGUGUUAUAGUCCCAUUCACAAAUGACAAUGAAAGGGAAAACUAAGUCAUUCUGCCUUGUCAGUGUUUUAUUUGUAUGUUACAAAUAAAGGAAAGUUGUUUUGACUUUUCAA